rfam:Caenorhabditis brenneri strain PB2801 C_brenneri-6.0.1_Cont90.1, whole genome shotgun sequence.
CCACGGUGCCCGACUUUUCAAUAUUUUGAAACCAGUUAUUCUGAGAAUGGUUACAAAGUAUUUGAAAAGCCGUGCACUGUAA